UAAUCUAGCUUAGUCUACCUUUAGAUUAGAUCUCAAAUCAGAUAGGAUUACCCGCUGAACUUAAGCAUAUCAAUAAGCGGAGGAAAAGAAACUAACAAGGAUUCCCCUAGUAGCGGCGAGCGAAGCGGGAAGAGCUCAAAUUUGUAAUCUGGCGCUUUCAGCGUCCGAGUUGUAAUCUCUAGAAAUGUUUUCCGCGUUGCACCGCACACAAGUCUGUUGGAAUACAGCGGCACAGUGGUGAGACCCCCGUUCAUGGUGCGGAUGCGCAAUGCUUUGUGAUACAUUUUCGAAGAGUCGAGUUGUUUGGGAAUGCAGCUCAAAUUGGGUGGUAAAUUCCAUCUAAAGCUAAAUAUUGGCGAGAGACCGAUAGCGAACAAGUACCGUGAGGGAAAGAUGAAAAGCACUUUGGAAAGAGAGUUAACAGUACGUGAAAUUGUUGGAAGGGAAACGCUUGAAGUCAGACUUGCUGUUCGGAGUUCAGCCGCAAGGUGUACUCUCCGAGUUGCAGGCCAGCAUCAGUUUUUCGGGGUGGAAAAUCACGGUUUGAAGGUAGCAGUUUCGGCUGUGUUAUAGCUUUCCGUUGGAUACAUCCUGGGGGACUGAGGAACGCAGUGUGCUUUUAGCAGGGGU
rnacentral:rRNA from 1 species